rnacentral:rRNA from 1 species
UACGGAAGGGGGCUAGCGUUGCUCGGAAUCACUGGGCGUAAAGGGUGCGUAGGCGGGUCUUUAAGUCAGGGGUGAAAUCCUGGAGCUCAACUCCAGAACUGCCUUUGAUACUGAGAGCUUGAGUCCGGGAGAGGUGAGUGGAACUGCGAGUGUAGAGGUGAAAUUCGUAGAUAUUCGCAAGAACACCAGUGGCGAAGGCGGCUCACUGGCCCGGUACUGACGCUGAGGUGCGAAAGCGUGGGGAGCAAACAGG